AGGGACCGCGGGCGGGCGCGGCGAUGCGGCGUGAGGGGAUCCCCCUGUGCCCGCCUGGUGCGCCCCGCGCCUCCGAGCACCCGCUGGCACUCCCUGCCCCCCAGCCGGCGUCCCGGAGCUGCGAAAUACCGCCUGACAGCAAAGAGAUUGUGAGUUUACAACAGCCCAGUAAAUAAGUGCUGAGAUUCCUGUUUCCACUGGAGCAUAAUUUCCAAACAGAAGAAGAGGACAUAACCAGAGGAACUCCAGAUGUGUAACGUUCCUUAUCCAGCAAAUCAGAUUAACAGGUCUGCUGUCUUAAAUCUUAGAUUUGAAAGAACACUCUAGAGCAUGAUGUCCUUCCUAUGACUAGAAUUGUACAAAGGAACAUGUCUGUAUGAAUUAAUAUACAGAACAAGGCCUUGGCAGGGAAAUCACUACAGCUCCUGAUAUCAAUGCAGACUAACAAUUAAACCCUAGGCUUUCGCAGAUCAACAGAGCAUCAAAAAAUCACUAAACAUGAUAGAAAGUUUUUUGAAAAAUCUGAAAAUAUUGAAAAAGCAUUCAAAGGGAAUGAUAUUGUCUGAAGAAGCUACUUGACCUGUUCAGUCACACAUCUGCCAUUAAAAUACCCUUACCAGCCAUUCUUUCCAUGCUGUGGAAAGCAGGAGGAGGCACAGUGACACGCUGUGCAGCUGCUGUGACGUGUGCCAAAGUUCAGAUGGAGCUAAGCGAGGCUUGGAAGCUAUCUUUAGCAUACAGAUGAGUGACACCAUCCAGAGCACGUGCUCUGUCUUUUUACCUGCAAGUCUGAUGUUAUCCCAUAAAACAAAAUACCUUGUAUCAACAAGCACUGUUUUGUUCUGCACUUGAUUAUGCUGAUUUUAAUUACCAGUCAGAACAUUAAAACCCGGAUUGCU